rfam:Cryptosporangium aurantiacum strain DSM 46144 genome assembly, contig: Ga0131100_102
GCGGGUUCGGCUCGGCCCCCCCGGAGCCGGACCCCGGACGGUCCCCGCCCACCCCCCCGGCGGGGACCGUCCCCU